rnacentral:rRNA from 1 species
GACGAACGCUGGCGGCGUGCUUAACACAUGCCAGUCGAACGGUGAAGCGCCUUCCUUUUUGGUGGGUGUGGAUGAGUGGCGAACGGGUGAGUAACACGUGAGUAACCUGCCCCCUUCUUCUGGAUAACCGCAUGAAAGUGUGGCUAAUACGGGAUAUUCUGGGUCUGUCGCAUGAUGGGUCUGGGAAAGAUAUUGUUUCGGUGGGGGAUGGGCUCGCGGCCUAUCAGCUUGUUGGUGGGGUGAUGGCCUACCAAGGCGGUGACGGGUAGCCGGCCUGAGAGGGUGGACGGCCACACUGGGAAUGAGACACGGCCCAGACUCCUACGGGAGGCAGCAGUGGGGAAUAUUGCACAAUGGGCGCAAGCCUGAUGCAGCGACGCCGCGUGAGGGAUGGAGGCCUUCGGGUUGUGAACCUCUUUCGCCAGUGAAGCAGGCCUGCCUCGUUUGUGGGUGGGUUGACGGUAGCUGGAUAAGAAGCGCCGGCUAACUACGUG